rnacentral:rRNA from 1 species
AGCUUGUACAGGUGCUGCAUGGCUGGUCGUCAGCUCGGUGUCGUGAGAUGUCGGUUAAGUCCGCUAACGAGCGCAACCCUCGCUGUGUGUUACAAGUGUCACACGGAACUGCCGGUCAUAAACCGGAGGAAGGUGGGGAUGACGUCAAGUCAGCAUGGCCUUUAUAUUCUGGGCUACACACACGCUACAAUGGGAAGGGACAAUAGGUUGCGAAGCCGCGAGGCGGAGCCAAUCCAGCAAAACUUCCCUCAGUUCAGAUUGCAGGCUGCAACUCGCCUGCAUGAAGUUGGAGUUGCUAGUAAACGCAGGUCAGCCAUACUGCGUUGAAUACGUUCCCGGGGCUU